AACUAACAAGGAUUCCCUUAGUAACUGCGAGUGAAGUGGGAAAAGCUCAAAUUUAAAAUCUGGCGGUCAUUGACUGUCCGAGUUGUAAUCUAGAGAAGUGUUGCCCGUGCUGGACCAUGUACAAGUCUUCUGGAAUGGAGCAUCAUAGAGGGUGAGAAUCCCGUCUUUGACAUGGACUACCAGUGCUUUUGUGGUAUGCUCUCAAAGAGUCGAGUUGUUUGGGAAUGCAGCUCAAAAUGGGUGGUAAAUGCCAUCUAAAGCUAAAUAUUGGCGAGAGACCGAUAGCGAACAAGUACCGUGAGGGAAAGAUGAAAAGAACUUUGGAAAGAGAGUUAAACAGUACGUGAAAUUGCUGAAAGGGAAACGCUUGAAGUCAGUCACAUUGACUUGAAAUCAACCCUGCUUUUGCUGGGUGUACUUUCUUGUUGAUGGGUCAGCAUCAAUUUUGACCGUUGGAUAAAGUUAUUGGGAAUGUGACAUCUUUGGAUGUGUUAUAGCCCAUUGAUGCAUACAGCGGUUGAGAUUGAGGAAUUCAGCAUGCCGCAAGGCCGGGUUUUUAACCACGUUCGUGCUUAGGAUGCUGGCAUAAUGGCUUUAAUCGACCCGUCUUGAAACACGGACCAAGGAGUCUAACAUGCCUGCAAGUGUUUGGGUGAAAAAACCCAUGUGCGUAAUGAAAGUGAAAGUUGAGAUCCCUUAGGGGAGCAUCGACGCCCGGACCAGACCUUUUGUGACGGAUCCGCGGUAGAGCAUGUAUGUUGGGACCCGAAAGAUGGUGAACUAUGCCUGAAUAGGGUGAAGCCAGAGGAAACUCUGGUGGAGGCUCGUAGCGAUUCUGACGUGCAAAUCGAUCGUCAAAUUUGGGUAUAGGGGCGAAAGACUAAUCGAACCAUCUA
rnacentral:rRNA from 1 species